rnacentral:rRNA from 1 species
AUUGAACGCUGGCGGCAGGCCUAACACAUGCAAGUCGAGCGGUAGAGAGAAGCUUGCUUCUCUUGAGAGCGGCGGACGGGUGAGUAAUGCCUAGGAAUCUGCCUGGUAGUGGGGGAUAACGUUCGGAAACGGACGCUAAUACCGCAUACGUCCUACGGGAGAAAGCAGGGGACCUUCGGGCCUUGCGCUAUCAGAUGAGCCUAGGUCGGAUUAGCUAGUUGGUGAGGUAAUGGCUCACCAAGGCGACGAUCCGGAACUGGUCUGAGAGGAUGAUCAGUCACACUGGAACUGAGACACGGUCCGGACUCCUACGGGAGGCAGCAGUGGGGAAUAUUGGACAAUGGGCGAAAGCCUGAUCCAGCCAUGCCGCGUGUGUGAAGAAGGUCUUCGGUUUGUAAAGCACUUUAAGUUGGGAGGAAGGGUUGUAGAUUAAUACUCUGCAAUUUUGACGUUACCGACAGAAUAAGCACCGGCUAACUCUGUGCCAGCCGCCGCAGUAA